AACGAACGCUGGCGGCAUGCCUAACACAUGCAAGUCGAACGGGAUCCUAGCUUGCUAGGUGAGAGUGGCGGACGGGUGAGUAACACGUGGGAAUCUGCCUUUUGGUUCGGGAUAACCGCGGGAAACUGCGGCUAAUACCGAAUGCCCUCGAGAGAGGAAAGAUUUAUCGCCAGAAGAGGAGCCCGCGUCCGAUUAGGUAGUUGGUGGGGUAAAGGCCUACCAAGCCGACGAUCGGUAGCUGGUCUGAGAGGAUGAUCAGCCACACUGGGACUGAGAUACGGCCCAGACUCCUACGGGAGGCAGCAGUGGGGAAUAUUGGACAAUGGGGGCAACCCUGAUCCAGCAAUGCCGCGUGAGUGAUGAAGGCCUUAGGGUUGUAAAGCUCUUUUGCCAGGGAAGAUGAUGACUGUACCUGGAGAAUAAGCCCCGGCUAAACUUCGUGCCAGCAGCCGCGGU
rnacentral:rRNA from 1 species